GGUGGCUCAGUGGUAGAAUGUUUGCCUUGCAAGCAUGAAGCCCUGGGUUCGAUUCCUUGGCACCA
rnacentral:tRNA from 1 species